GCCUAAAACGUCCGUAGCCGGUUCUAUAAAUGCCUGGGUAAAUCGUAUGGCUUAACCGUACGAAUUCCGGGUAGACUGUUCAACUUGGGACCGGGAGAGGCUAGAGGUACUCCUGGGGUAGAGGUGAAAUUCUGUAAUCCUAGGGGGACCACCAGUGGCGAAGGCGUCUAGCUAGAACGGGUCUGACGGUGAGGGACGAAGCCCUGGGGAGCGAACGGGAUUAGAUACCCCGGUAGUCCAGGGCGUAAACGCUGCUCGCUUGAUGUUAGUCGGGCUCCGAGCCCAACUAGUGUCGGAGAGAAGUUGUUAAGCGAGCUGCCUGGGGAGUACGGUCGCAAGACUGAAACUUAAAGGAAUUGGCGGGGGAGCACCGCAACGGGUGGAGCGUGCGGUUUAAUUGGAUUCAACGCCGGAAAACUCACCGGGGGCGACGGUUAUAUGAAGGCCAGGCUGAUGACCUUGCCUGAUUUUCCGAGAGGUGGUGCAUGGCCGUCGUCAGUUCGCACCGUGAGGCGUUCUGUUAAGUCAGACAACGAACGAGACCCUCAUCUUUAGUUGCAACUGGUAAGUUCGCUUACUAGGCACACUAGAGAAACCGCUGGCGAUAAGUCAGAGGAAGGCGAGGGCAACGGUAGGUCAGUAUGCCCUGAAUCCCCCGGGCUACACGCGCGCUACAAAGGCUAGGACAAUGGGUUUCGACACCGAAAGGUGAAGGUAAUCCCGAAACCUAGUCAUAGUUCGGAUUGAG
rnacentral:rRNA from 1 species